rnacentral:rRNA from 1 species
AUGCACGCUGGCGGCGUGCCUAAUACAUGCCAGUCGAGCGAACAGACGAGGAGCUUGCUCCUCUGACGUUAGCGGCGGACGGGCGAGUAACACGUGGAUAACCUACCUAUAAGACUGGGAUAACUUCGGGAAACCGGAGCUAAUACCGGAUAAUAUAUUGAACCGCAUGGUUCAAUAGUGAAAGACGGUUUUGCUGUCACUUAUAGAUGGAUCCGCGCCGCAUUAGCUAGUUGGUAAGGUAACGGCUUACCAAGGCAACGAUGCGUAGCCGACCUGAGAGGGUGAUCGGCCACACUGGAACUGAGACACGGUCCAGACUCCUACGGGAGGCAGCAGUAGGGAAUCUUCCACAAUGGGCGAAAGCCUGACGGAGCAACGCCGCGUGAGUGAUGAAGGUCUUCGGAUCGUAAAACUCUGUUAUUAGGGAAGAACAAAUGUGUAAGUAACUAUGCACGUCUUGACGGUACCUAAUCAGAAAGCCACGGCUAACUACGUG